AGGAGUUGCUGAGAAGGAGCUGUGGUUCUGACCUUCAGGGGAAUUCCCACGUCUGUAUGGUGGCUCGUGAAGAGCAUGGUUCCUUUUCUCAGCCCUCUUGAGGGGCGAGGAUGCUGAGGACUGAAGUCGGUGGGGCUUGAUGCAUGUGGUCACUGAGAGGCUGCCAGAGGGCCAUUUUCAUGACCAGAGGGAUCUGUUCAACACCCUGUGGGUCCCAGCACCUAUCUCAGGAAGCAGGGUGCAUCUGUCCACCACCAAGUCUCAGGGUGGCUGGGUGAGCGCUCAUCAGUCCCAGACAGCAGGUUGGCACAAAACGACACUGCCCACAAAACCACAGGAAGAAGAGAAACUCCGACUGUCUUUCAGCACACAGAAGACACUGUACUGGACCCGGACAUUAGGCAGACACCCACGCCUGACUUUCAGGAGAAAAGAGAACAUGACUAACGGAUAUUCUUAGUAGAUGGUUUAUUAGAAAAGAGAACAUCUUCCAGCAUGUGUCCUGGGGUGAUGGGUGUGGGAAGCACUCAGUCCAUAGUCCUGGUCCCUGGCUUCCCCAAGCCCAGCACCAUGAAUGUACAGUGGAAAGCAGAGGGUGCAGCGUCUCAGAAAGAUGCUUCCACUCACAAGGAUUGGAGCUCACAAGUGAGCUCCAUAACCUGCAAACCAGAGAAACCUGAGACACUGCCCCUUGGCCAUUUUAUCAACGGAGACUUUAUUGUGAU
rnacentral:lncRNA from 1 species